UACGUAGGGACCAAGCGUUGUUCGGAUUUACUGGGCGUAAAGGGCGCGUAGGCGGCGUGUCAAGUCAAUUGUGAAAUCUCCGGGCUUAACUCGGAACGGUCAAUUGAUACUGGCGGGCUUGAGUACAGACGAGGUAGGCGGAAUUGAUUGUGUAGCGGUGAAAUGCAUAGAUACAAUCAAGAACACCGAUUGCGUAGGCAGCUUACUAGGCUGUAACUGACGCUGAGGCACGAAAGCGUGGGGAGCGAACAGG
rnacentral:rRNA from 1 species